UGUGGGAUUCAUUCCAGUGCUUUCUAAAAGGUCGUAGUGUGAUCUAAAUGGUCGUAGUGAGGCGAGGAUACUGAUAGAACUAUCGAGAACUGUAUAACAGGUAUAUAAGGGAUGGUUGUUGAGAUUAUGAGGGGUCUACUACUACAUUGGAUUUACGCCCAUCUGUCUGCUAACAUCAGCGUUUCAAGACCAACCGUUCAACUGACCUCGUCUACAUUGCACUUUUAACAGCUGUCAACAAUCUUCAAUCAGUCAACAAUCAAUGUUUACUAGAAAUAUGAAGACUUUGCUGAUCAGGUCCCAGUUAAGAUUUCUGCUCUGCGGACCUACUAUUGCAAGGAACUAAGGAAGGAAACCCUCUCCCGGAAAAGUGGGGCUGGUCGAGAUGAUAUCUAUGAGUCUACCUGGGAAUGGUUUAAGCUGUUGGAUCCUUUUCUUAGAAGCCAGGUUCAUCAAAAAACAACUAUAAGUAACUUGGAAACCAACAUACUGUCAACUGAGCAGGAUGGACCCAGUCAAGUGGAACAAGUGGUUCAAGCUGAGGAAAAUGUGGAACC